rnacentral:lncRNA from 1 species
GCCAUUUGAGGCUGGGAUUGGAGUUCUGAAAUGUGCAGAAAUGCCACUUGUUGUCUUUUUCUGCGUCUCACUUCCUGGAUCUUCAGUUUAAAUGGCUUACAUACUGUAUUCAAGCUUCUACAGUGACACAGGAUCUUAGAAGAGAAAUUUGAACAUGUUUUUGCUUUGUUUUCUAGGGAGAACCCAGUUAUUUUCCCAAGGUUAUAUGAUUGUGGAAAAUCCUGUCCUAUCUAGUACGGAUGGGUAGGGUUAUUAGAUUAAGGGAGUUGUCAACAGGAUGAAUUAACUCCUGAGGACAAGUCCAAGGACAAUAGGGACUUGGUCAUUCCUGUAUCCCCCCCCCCCCCACUCAGCCCAUCCCUCAAGCCUUAGCAAGGGUUUAUCAAAAUGCCUAGGAUCCAGGUCUUCCUUAGUGCACUAAAGUUAAUCUCAUGCUCUCUGAAUUCUACUUAGUUUAGUGUUGUUUAGCUAGAAAUAAGAAAUUCAUCUGUCGUGAGCCAACAAAGAUACCACUGAAUACAGGAAGGAAAUAUUUCAAUCCCCUCGCAUUCCUGCUUCACAUCUGGCAAAAUGCUUAAAGCCUCUGCGAAUAUUGUCUCUUCUCUUCUGAGAGCUGUCUCAAACUUGGACAGCAAAAGAAAGGUUAAAAAGAGAACAAAGAAAAUCAUUGCCUUAGCUCACGAAGAUCACAAUAUACUGUGGAUUUGCCUGUCAAGUU